UACGAAGGGGGCUAGCGUUGCUCGGAAUCACUGGGCGUAAAGGGUGCGUAGGCGGGUCUUUAAGUCAGGGGUGAAAGCCCCGGGCUCAACCUGGGAGGUGCGCUUGAUACUCGAGGGCUUGAGUGCGGGAGAGGAGAGUGGAAUUCCCAGUGUAGAGGUGAAAUUCGUAGAUAUUGGGAAGAACACCGGUGGCGAAGGCGGCUCUCUGGACCGUAACUGACGCUGAGGCGCGAAAGCGUGGGGAGCGAACAGG
rnacentral:rRNA from 1 species